rnacentral:rRNA from 1 species
ACGCUGGCGGCGUGCCUAAUACAUGCAAGUCGAACGCUGGAGAUCUAGCUUGCUAGAUCGAAGGAGUGGCGAACGGGUGAGUAAUACAUAAGCAACCUACCCACGAAGACUGGGAUAAUCUCUGGAAACGGGGACUAAUACCGGAUAGGUAAUCGGAAGGCAUCUUCUGAUUAUUAAAGGUUAAAAACACUGGUGGAUGGGCUUAUGGCGCAUUAGUUAGUUGGUGAGGUAACGGCCCACCAAGACGAUGAUGCGUAGCCGGCCUGAGAGGGUGAACGGCCACAUUGGGACUGAGACACGGCCCAGACUCCUACGGGAGGCAGCAGUAGGGAAUUUUCGGCAAUGGGGGAAACCCUGACCGAGCAACGCCGCGUGAGUGAUGACGGCCUUCGGGUUGUAAAGCCCUGUUGUAAGGGAAGAACGGUAGAUAGAGAAUAUCUAAGUGACGGUACCUUACCAGAAAGCCACGGCUAACUACGUGCCAGCAGCCGCGGUAAUACGUAGGAGGCGAGCGUUAUCCGGAAUUAUUGGGCGUAAAGGGUGCGUAGGCGGCCUGUUAAGUAAGUGGUUAAAUUGUUGGGCUCAACCCAAUCCAGCCACUUAAACUGGCAGGCUAGAGUAUUGGAGAGGCAAGUGGAAUUCCAUGUGUAGCGGUAAAAUGCGUAGAUAUAUGGAGGAACACCAGUGGCGAAGGCGGCUUGCUAGCCAAAGACUGACGCUCAUGCACGAAAGCGUGGGGAGCAAAUAGGAUUAGAUACCCUAGUAGUCCACGCCGUAAACGAUGAAUACUAAGUAUUGGGGAAACUCAGUGCUGCACUAACGCAAUAAGUAUUCCGCCUGUGGAGUAUGCACGCAAGUGUGAAACAUAAAGGAAUUGACGGGGGCCCGCACAAGCGGUGAGUAUGU